rnacentral:sRNA from 1 species
AAACAGAAAAAGAACAAUUUUAUUUUUAGUUAUCACGAGACGGAUUUAUAUGACGGGAUGGGUUUAGAGGAGACGAGUUUACAUGGUAGGACGGAUUUGGAUGAGACGAGUUUAUAUGGUGCUAUGAGUUUAGAUGGGACAAAUUUGGAUACCAU